rnacentral:rRNA from 1 species
UUCAUCUAAAGCUAAAUAUUGGCCAGAGACCGAUAGCGCACAAGUAGAGUGAUCGAAAGAUGAAAAGCACUUUGGAAAGAGAGUUAAACAGUACGUGAAAUUGUUGAAAGGGAAGCGCUUGCAACCAGACUUGCAUGCCGUCGAUCAUCCUGGGUUCUCCCUGGUGCACUCGGCGGCGUUCAGGCCAGCAUCGGUUUCGGUGGUUGGAUAAAGGCCUUGGGAAUGUGGCUCCUCUCGGGGAGUGUUAUAGCCCUCGGUGCAAUGCAGCCUACCGGGACCGAGGACCGCGCUUCGGCUAGGAUGCUGGCGUAAUGGUUGUAAGCGACCCGUCUUG